GACGAACGCUGGCGGCGUGCUUAACACAUGCAAGUCGAACGAUGAUGGAGAGCUUGCUCUUCGGAUUAGUGGCGAACGGGUGAGUAACACGUGAGCAAUCUGCCCUUGACUCUGGGAUAAGCGUUGGAAACGACGUCUAAUACCGGAUACGACCCUUGNAGGCAUCUCCGGGGGUGGAAAGAAUUUUGGUCAGGGAUGAGCUCGCGGCCUAUCAGCUAGUUGGUGAGGUAAUGGCUCACCAAGGCGACGACGGGUAGCCGGCCUGAGAGGGUGACCGGCCACACUGGGACUGAGACNCGGCCCAGACUCCUACGGGAGGCAGCAGUGGGGAAUAUUGCACAAUGGGCGAAAGCCUGAUGCAGCAACGCCGCGUGAGGGACGACGGCCUUUCGGGUUGUAAACCUCUUUUAGUAGGGAAGAAGCGAAAGUGACGGUACCUGCAGAAAAAGCACCGGCUAACUACGUGCCAGCAGCCGCGGUAAUACGUAGGGUGCAAGCGUUGUCCGGAAUUAUUGGGCGUAAAGAGCUCGUAGGCGGUUUGUCGCGUCUGCUGUGAAAACCCGAGGCUCAACCUCGGGCCUGCAGUGGGUACGGGCAGACUAGAGUGCGGUAGGGGAGAUUGGAAUUNCCUGGUGUAGCGGUGGAAUGCGCAGAUAUCAGGAGGANCNCCAAUGGCGAAGGCAGAUCUCUNCNCCGUAACUGACGCUGAGGAGCGAAAGCAUGGGGAGCGAACAGGAUUAGAUACCCUGGUAGUCCAUGCCGUAAACGUUGGGAACUAGAUGUGGGGACCAUUCCACGGUCUCCGUGUCGCAGCUAACGCAUUAAGUUCCCCGCCUGGGGAGUACGGCCGCAAGGCUAAAACUCAAAGGAAUUGACGGGGGCCCGCACAAGCGGCGGAGCAUGCGGAUUAAUUCGAUGCAACGCGAAGAACCUUACCAAGGCUUGACAUAUAGAGGAAACGUCUGGAAACAGUCGCCCCGCAAGGUCUCUAUACAGGUGGUGCAUGGUNGUNGUCAGCUCGUGUCGUGAGAUGUUGGGUUAAGUCCCGCAACGAGCGCAACCCUCGUCCUAUGUUGCCAGCACGUAAUGGUGGGAACUCAUGGGAUACUGCCGGGGUCAACUCGGAGGAAGGUGGGGAUGACGUCAAAUCAUCAUGCCCCUUAUGUCUUGGGCUUCACGCAUGCUACAAUGGCCGGUACAAAGGGCUGCAAUACCGCAAGGUGGAGCGAAUCCCAAAAAGCCGGUCUCAGUUCGGAUUGAGGUCUNCAACUCGACCUCANGAAGUCGGA
rnacentral:rRNA from 1 species